rnacentral:rRNA from 1 species
GAUGAACGCUAGCUACAGGCUUAACACAUGCAAGUCGAGGGGAAACGACAUCGAAAGCUUGCUUUUGGUGGGCGUCGACCGGCGCACGGGUGAGUAAUGCGUAUCCAACCUGCCCACCACUUGGGGAUAACCUUGCGAAAGUAAGACUAAUACCCAAUGAUAUCCCACGAAGGCAUCCGAAUGGGAUUAAAGAUUUAUCGGUGAUGGAUGGGGAUGCGUCUGAUUAGCUUGUUGGCGGGGUAACGGCCCACCAAGGCUACGAUCAGUAGGGGUUCUGAGAGGAAGGUCCCCCACAUUGGAACUGAGACACGGUCCAAACUCCUACGGGAGGCAGCAGUGAGGAAUAUUGGUCAAUGGGCGAGAGCCUGAACCAGCCAAGUAGCGUGCAGGACGACGGCCCUAUGGGUUGUAAACUGCUUUUAUAAGGGAAUAAAGUGAGUCUCGUGAGACUUUUUGCAUGUACCUUAUGAAUAAGGACCGGCUAAUUCCGUG